UAUGAACCCACUGGCUCAGUCCUCAGCCUUUACCCAAGACUCUGUCUCUGAUCACUUUCCCCACCAUUUCCAAUCCAGAGUCAGAACCCAUUGGAAAUAGUUUCAACAGAGUCAAUCCUAACAUGUCUAGCAGCCAGGACUUGUCCCACCACCUCCCACAGCUCCCCACCUCACCCAAGGCAUCAAGAGGGUGUGGUGUGUGAGCCAGGCUAUGCCACCCUCCAGCUUCACUCCUCUGAGCCCCAGCUGUGGGUCUGGGGCCCCACAUGGCCCAGCAGCUACUCACAGGCAGGCUCAGGCCUCCUCUGUGCCUCCCGCUUUGGACGGGGUAAGAGGCUCGGGGUUCUUCUCCAUCGGCCACAGCGGGGCAGGGAGCUGGGUAUCUCCAGGCCUUCCUAAUGCUAUGUCCCUCAGGGGAAGCACAGGAGACAUCCUGGCAGGCACGGACACUGGCCCUGCCACCUAGCUGUUGCUCUCAGCCUGUGAGGCCUUUCAGGAUCAUCACCACGGAAAACCCGGAGCAGAACCAGUGGGAGCUGGAGAAAUGGCUGAAGAAGAGCCAGGGGCCUGUGGCUGGUUCCCAGCUGUGCAAUAUGAGUGAGACCUGGCAGGAGACAGGUACCUGCAGGCUGUCCCUGCUCCACCAGAGCCCCCAGCCCGCCUCACCCUCCGUCUCCCUUCCCCCCUGAUCUGCUUGCCUCUCAUCAGCCAGGGCCCCUCCCUCCAGGGCCGACUCACCUAGAGCUGCCUGGGGUUGCCCUGCCUGCUCCCCACUUCUUUCUUCCCACCCAGACUAUAGCACCAGUUUUGGUCUCAUCUCCUCCUGGAAGCCUCCCCACCCACAAUGAGCUCAUAGUUCAGCUUCUACUGGAAUCUACUGUUGGGAUGUGCGAGAGACGUCAUGGAAAGACACGGGCUGCUCAGAGUCCCCCCACGCUAUCCCCUCAGCACUGUUGCCCAGCUCCACAGAGAAAUAGCAUUGACCCCCCACAGGCAUGGUCCCCAUCUGGGUCCAUAGAGAGUAAAUGCAUCCACUGGAGCCCUGAGGGGAGAGCAAUUCCCAUCCAAUUGCACAGCUGGAGAAAUCAAGGCCCUGGCCCCGAGAGUGGCCUCUAGCCAACCUCAGAGGAGCACAGAGGCAGGAGUCCCCACCUGGCUGAAGCCACCAAAGAUGAGAGCAGCGCAAGAGUCCUGCCCUGGCCUCGGGCAUGGGUGCAGGUAGGUGC
rnacentral:lncRNA from 1 species